rnacentral:lncRNA from 1 species
AACGCAGUAUGCCCAAACAACAACGGAAGAUGCUGUCACGAUUGCAGGACCGGUAAAAAAACCAAAAUAGCCAUAGAAAAUGAAGUAGCAGAGUUCCCAUAUGCAAUUAUAUUAUAGGUUGUAGAGCCAUAAACUAACAUGCUCAUGUAUAUGACAAACAAAAUAGGCGAACCUUCCAUUUUUAUUAAAAUUAAACAUAAAAUACAUCUACAAAUUAAACAUAACCACAUUGCUUUCAAAUUAGCUAUAGCUAAAACAUAACUUUAGCACAUUCAAUUCAUAAGAUCUAUUUUACCUUCAAAUACCUAACAAAAUCCCUUUUGUGAAUGAAGUAUUAUGUGUACACCAAAUAAUGCUCCGAGUUGAUCAAUUGUUUGAGAGUCUGAGAUGUUCAUUUAUGUAGUAAUUUGAUCACAUUCAAAAGUAGAGAGUUAUAAGAUAAAACAAACAGAAACUAAUUUCAAUAAGAAAAGAAAAAAAACACAUUACAUUGUUAGAGGUCCCAAAGAAACCAAUUUUUAUUUCUUAUCCCUGUAUUGAAUUGAGUUGACUCUGAAUAUCCUCCUAACACUAGAUCUUCACACACAAUAAUCUAAAUCAAUACAUAGAAAUACAAAUAUUACAAAAACUCGUACAAGAAAAUCUAAAUCAUUUUUAUAAAUACAAAAUAUCAGAUUAAUUACACAAACAUUACAAAUUUAGUAUCCCUAACCCUAAAUCACUUUAACCCAUCCUGAAACCGAAAUGAAACUUUAAAAACUCAAAACACUAAUCAACUUUUUCAAAACACAAACAAAACAAACUAAAAAACUCAAACCCUAAAUCGCAAUCCCAAAAAUAUCCAUUGAAUUUGGUGGAUUCGAUUUUCGACAGAUCCAAAAUAAUCAUCCGAACCGAACCGGUCCAAGUCUAAUAUAUCCAAAUGAAUGCCAGAUAUAAUAAGAAGAUAGAGUAAAAGUAAGAUACCAAGAGGAAUGAAAGGAAAAAGGGAAAUGAAAUCUGGCUUCGUACUUCAGAGUAUUGGUUUUGUGGCUCAUUUG